rnacentral:rRNA from 1 species
ACUGCUCAGUAACACGUAGUCAACCUAACUCGUGGACGUGGAUAACCUCGGGAAACUGAGAAUAAACCACGAUAGAUCAUAGUGCCUGGAAUGGCUUAUGGUCCAAACAGUUUACUGCCAUGGGAUGGGACUGCGGCCUAUCAGCUUGUUGGUGAGGUAAUGGCCCACCAAGGCGAUUACAGGUACGGGCUCUGAGAGGAGAAGCCCGGAGAUGGGUACUGAGACACGGACCCAGGCCCUAUGGGGCGCAGCAGGCGAGAAACCUUAGCAAUGUGCGAAAGCACGACUGGGUCAGUCCGAGUGAUUCCUGAUAAAGGAGUCUUUUGCUUGUCCUAAAAGCACAGGUGAAUAAGGGGUGGGCAAGUCUGGUGUCAGCCGCCGCGGUAAUACCAGCACCUCGAGUGGUCAGGACGUUUAUUGGGCCUAAAGCAUCCGUAGCCGGCUCUGCAAGUCUUCGGUUAAAUCCACCUGCUCAACAGAUGGGCCGCUGGAGAUACUACAGAGCUAGGGAGUGGGAGAGGCAGACGGUAUUCAGUGGGUAGGGGUAAAAUCCUCUGAUCCAUUGAGGACCACCAGUGGCGAAGGCGGUCUGCCAGAACACGUUCGACGGUGAGGGAUGAAAGCUGGGGGAGCAAACCGGAUUAGAUACCCGGGUAGUCCCAGCUGCAAACGAUGCAAACUCGGUGAUGCAUUGGCUUAUGGCCAAUGCAGUGCCGCAGGGAAGCCGUUAAGUUUGCCGCCUGGGAAGUACGGACGCAAGUCUGAAACUUAAAGGAAUUGGCGGGGGAGCAC